AAUGCAAUACAUGCAAUGUAUCGCAUUGCACAAAAAUGCUGAGAGAUCAGAUACAAACAACAAACACAAUACACAACAAAAAAGAAAGAUGCCACUCGGAUAAGAAUAUGGAAUGGGGGAGCAACUUUAAUCUGCAGAGACUGUAUGUUCAAUCAUCCAUUUCAUUCAAACGAUUCGGUUUUGCCUCAAUCUUAGGGAGCAAACUGCAGGAACAACAAGAAGACCAACACCCUUCUUCUUAAACUUCAUCAAAAUUCAAUCUUGUCAAUGUAUAGUUUCAUUCAAUGAUUGAUGAACAGAGUUUCUCUGCACUUAACCACCAGUUCGCGGUGGCCAUGACGACGGUGGUGGCGGUGGUGGGUGACCCAGUUCAUCUUGACCAGAGGUUUCAUGGUGGACCCACUUCCGACUUGAUUUGAGACUAAGAUUCAGAAGGUGUCACCGUCCUUUUCUCCACUCAGAUGCGCUCUAUUUUGUUUUCACUCUCUUACCCUUCAUUUUUCUUGCUAUAACUCUGUCGCCCUUUUGCCCUUUUGCCCAUUUCCCUUCUUUCACGUUCCAUUGGGAUCUUCUUUCUCUCUUCUUUUUCCUACUUGUUUUUGGCUAAACUACAGCUUUCUGGAUCGUUCGAUUAAACCCCAAUUCGCAUUUUCAAUGCAUUUGGAUUCGUGUAUUUGGACUGCUUCGAGGAUCUCACUUUUCCCUCUCGUUUUUGUUUCUUUUCCGUUCGUUUAGCCGCCGAAUUUCUUCAGGUUUUUCCCUUGUUUCUGGUUUGGAUGUCAUUUGUCAGGCUUUUCGUUUGUCUUCUUCAAGUAAAUAUACUCUUCUUUCACUAAUUUCCUCUUUCUUGCUCGUCAGACUCGGCCUAUUAAACAAAUAUUUCAUCUGGGAUCUGUUGGAUUUGCCUUUCUUCUCGAGUUUCUUUUAUAUUAAUAUGAGCUUAGGAGCUUAAUUUUGGAUUUGGGUGUCUCUGAGAUUCAUUAAACAAUUGCUUUAUUUAAUACCCCUUUUGAGUUGUUAAAAUAUAUUUUCUCCCAAAACUCUAUUUGACUCCACUGAUAGGGACAUUGGUUUUACCUAUUUGUAAGCCACUUUGAUGAUUUAGAGGUGUUUAAUCCUCUUUGUAUUCAACUGGGUUCGUCUUAUUUUAUUCAUUUGGGUUUAGCUUGUGGAGUUUAAACGUGACUUAUUUCCCAGUAAAGAGGCGCAGAGUUUUUUUUUUUUUUUUUUUCUUUUUCUUUUUUUCUUUUCUUUACCAUUUUCCAACCAUGCCUCUAUCUGAGCUUUAUCGUGUGGCCAGAGGGAAACUUGAUUCAACUCAAGACAAGAACAACAUGGUUGCUUCUGAUUUAUCUAUGAAUCCUGAGAAUGAUGUUUUCGAGCUGGUGUGGGAGAAUGGUCAAAUUUUGCUGCAAGGCCAGUCCAAUAGGACCAGGAAGAACUCAAAUUUAAACACUUCACAGGCUCAAUGUUUACCAACUCAUAGUCCCAGGGAUAGAGAUAGAGAUGUAGGAUAUUUCAACAAUGCAAAGAUGGGAAAGUUUGGGGCUAUUGAUUCUGUAGUAAGAGAUGUUAUGUCAACGGCCCCUUCUCCGGAUGUCGAAUUAGCUCAUGACGACGAUGAUGAUAUGGUGCCUUGGCUAAGUUAUCCUCUUGAUGGACAUCUGCAACACGAUUAUUCUUCCGAUUUCUUACCUGAAUUAUCUGGGGUCACUGUUAAUGACUUUCCCUCACGUAAUAGCAUUGCAUCUUCUAUAGGCAAAGCUAGUGGCGGUAAUCAGGUAAACAGAGAGAGAGAUAUGCACCUAAAUUCUAUGCACGGUGCUAAUCUAGAAGAUGGCAAUAUUUCCAAGCUUUCUUCAUUAGAUGUUUCAGCUGCAAGAGCUAGAAGUAGCACGAACCAAUUACAUUCAUCAGCAUCCCAGCAAAGUCAGACAUCAUUUCCACAUCUCAGAACAAAAUGUGCUGGAGGAACUGAAAAUACUACAGGCAAGAUUCUUCAUGAUUCUCUUGUGGGCCACUCUCCUCAGGUUCCAUUGAUUGCAAGCAGUUCUUCAAGCACUGCAAGGCAAAAGCUAGAUCCAACUCCUCCAAAUAAUGCAUCCAAUAUCAUAAAUUUCUCCCACUUUCUGCGACCUGCCGCUCUUCUCAAAUCCAAUCCUCAGAAUCAUGGUGUCCCUGGAACUGGUGGUUCACGCAAUUUGGACAGCAUGGUUAAGAACAGUUCGGCUGCUAAUAGUCAACCCCGUGAAUCUUCAUUAAUUGCAAUCCAAGGUGGUAUAAGAAAUGAAUCAAAUUCAGGUUGUAAAAAUGCGGUAGUUCCUUCCAUAGAUGGUAAAAAUCCAUCAGAUGCCAAGCCUCCUGAGCAAUCACAGGCUAACAAACAGCCUGAGGCUGCUUGUUUGGGUGAUUCAGCUGACCAUGAUGACCGCCUCAAACAUUGUCUUGAAGUUGGUGCAACGAAAGGAUAUGCAGAUAGUGAGAAGGCUGUUGAAUCUGUAAUUGCUGCUUCCCUUUGUUCACGGAAUAGCGUGGAGGGAGCUUCUGAUGAUCCGCCACUUAAUAGGAAGAGAAAAUGUCAUGACACUGAGGAUUCUGAAUGGCAUAGUGAUGAUGUAGAAGAAGAUUGCAAUGAUGUGAAGAGAGUGACUUCUGGUCGAGGAACUGGUUCGAAAAGAAGCAGGGCUGCAGAAGUUCAUAAUUUAUCAGAAAGACGACGAAGAGAUAGGAUCAACGAGAAGAUGCGUGCACUGCAAGAACUGAUACCAAAUUGUAAUAAGGUCGACAAAGCAUCCAUGCUCGAUGAAGCCAUUGAGUACUUGAAAACGCUUCAACUUCAGGUUCAGAUUAUGUCAAUGGGAGCUGGUUUGUUCAUGCCUCCCAUGAUGUUCCCUGGAGCAAUGCCACCCAUGAAUACACCUCACAUUUACCCGCCCAUGGGCGUAGGAAUGGGAUUUGGGAUAGGUAUGCCAGACAUGAAUGGUGGUAUUCCUAUGGUUCCAGUGCCACACAUGCAAGGAAUGCAUUUCCCUGGCCCAUCAAUGCCAGCUCAAACUGUAAUGCAUGGACUGCCAAGUUCUAACUUUCAAGUUCUUGGACUUCCUGGUCAAGGACUUCCCAUGCCUAUGCCACGUGGACCGGUUGCACCGUUUUCUGGAGGGCCUUUUGUGACUAAUUCCAGUAUGGCAGUAGCUCCUGUGGAUAAUUUUGGUUCAACUGCAGCCUGUAGCUCGAAAGAUACAUCUCCAAACAUUAAUUCACCCAUGGUGCCAAAUGGUGGCACCGAUCCUUCAAUGACUCCAGCUCUUAGACAGGCUAAUGAACAAGCUUCUUGUGUUAAUGCCAGCAGUGUGAAACCCACCAGCAAAAAUGAUCUUAUAGCUAACUAAGUUGCAUAUUAUUUUUGAAGAAAUCACAUUCAUUAGGCAGAUUGUCUCUGUAUUUUGAAAAAAAAAGAAAAAGCCAUCCCACGGCCUUGACAUUCUGCUUCAACUUGUUCAUAAUUACUCAGUAUCUAGGAGUAUAAAUGAUCGAGCAUGAGAUCCCGCUUUGGACUUGGAGACGUACUGUCAUUAAGUAUCUGAAGUUUAAUCAGGUUCUGAUGCUUGCAUACACACAUAUUUCUCGCUACCACUGGGAGAUGACCGGAGAGGCAUAAUGCAACUGCCUCAAGGCUGAAUAUGAUGAAAAUUUCUUGGUUGAAACCAAAGUUUAAUCUUGGCGUACUGCAGUAUAGUUGAAGAUUCAUUGAGCAGAUACAAUUUCUCCAUUUUGGAUCAGAGAAUAAGCUUGGCCAAAUCAGUGGUUGAUUCAGCCAUUUGUUACGUUAGCGUUUUUGACUAUUGCUUCAUUGCUAUAUUCUUUUCAAGCUUCUUGAGUGAAGAUGACAGUUUUGUACAAUGAUAUUCCCUAUGUGAUAUAAACACACUCAUGACUUGAAUGAUACUAAGAAUGGUCAAGGAAUAACAGAUGUGGCACACCUUCAUUUCA